rnacentral:rRNA from 1 species
CAGCGCGGGCUUCGGCCUGGCGGCGAGUGGCGAACGGGUGAGUAAUACAUCGGAACGUGCCCUGUUGUGGGGGAUAACUAGUCGAAAGAUUAGCUAAUACCGCAUACGACCUGAGGGUGAAAGCGGGGGACCGUAAGGCCUCGCGCAAUAGGAGCGGCCGAUGUCUGAUUAGCUAGUUGGUGGGGUAAAGGCCUACCAAGGCGACGAUCAGUAGCUGGUCUGAGAGGACGAUCAGCCACACUGGGACUGAGACACGGCCCAGACUCCUACGGGAGGCAGCAGUGGGGAAUUUUGGACAAUGGGGGCAACCCUGAUCCAGCAAUGCCGCGUGUGUGAAGAAGGCCUUCGGGUUGUAAAGCACUUUUGUCCGGAAAGAAAUCGCGCUGGCUAAUACCCGGCGUGGAUGACGGUACCGGAAGAAUAAGCACCGGCUAACUACGUGCCAGCAGCCGCGGUAAUACGUAGGGUGCGAGCGUUAAUCGGAAUUACUGGGCGUAAAGCGUGCGCAGGCGGUUUUGUAAGACAGGCGUGAAAUCCCCGGGCUUAACCUGGGAAUUGCGCUUGUGACUGCAAGGCUAGAGUGCGUCAGAGGGGGGUAGAAUUCCACGUGUAGCAGUGAAAUGCGUAGAGAUG